CCAGGAUGGAAUUGAGACCCUUGGACUAAACCAGCUUUCGAGGCCAACAAAUUCAACUGAGCUGCAGCUGCUGCUGCUGCCACUGCCCCUUCUCCAUUCAGCAUAGGCAGAUGCCCGCUCUGGCCAAUAAGUGCAGACCGCGAAAAGUUGGCACCACCCAUCUGUUGAUUCUGCGAAUUCUGCUGUAAAUUCUGUUGAAUUGAACCCGACCCACCAAAAUUCACUUGCCCAUAUAGUCCCUGUUGCUGCUGCUGCCUCAAGACACCACUGUAUUGAUUCUGCUGCUGUUGCUGUUGGUUAAUUUGGCUUAAACGAGAAAUAGAAGGAGAUCUUUGAAGAGAUUGUGGAAUUUGAUAGUUGGACCUGGCUGUGACAUUCUGUUGUUGCAAUUGCUGCUGCAGCUGCACAACAGGUUGCUGUUGUUGUUGAGAGGAAAGAGAAGGCGAUGAGAUUUGUGGAUCAACAGAUGGAGAUGCAAUUUUUGGAUUUUGAGGUAAAUUCGACAUGCUGGAUGUUGGUGUUUGUGCUUGUGGUUGUGGUGGUGUUAGAGCUACGGUGUUGGAGUUCGAAUUUGUUAACGCCGUGGGCUGUGGUUGUGAUUGUGGUUGCGGCUGAGAAGGAGGUGGUGUUGGUGAUGGGUCCAUCGGAUUCGGAGAAGGGAUUGGUAGAGGGGAAGAAGCUGCAGUUUCUGCCAUUAUAAGAAGGAAUUUUGGUUUUGUGCAAGGGGGGGGGGGGUUUGGGUUGGUGUGUUGUGGCGUUAAUCCAUUGUUGUUUGGGUUUUGCUCAUCAGAAGUUGCAGCCAAAUUUUCAAAUUUUCUUUUCGUUAAC
rnacentral:misc_RNA from 1 species